UUAGGCUUUUCCCCCAAAACACCAAAUCAGUUUUCCCCUAAAUUCACAUAAAUGGUGUCAUUUUUUCCACCCUUUUAUCCCCAAAAACAUACCUAAAAAGUUUAAGUGUUUUCCCCCUAAAAUUUUCCCCCUAACCCUAAAUUUUCAGCAAAUCCAAACCCAACCCAUCUCUCCAUCGCCGGACCCGACCAUCUGUUGCAUCGCCAUCGACUCGACCAUCUGCUGCGUCACCGUUGCACUCCUCUGCUGCAACUAAUCAGUAAGUCGAAACCCUCACUCAGCUAUUUCUCCCAUCUUCUUCUCGGUUCUCAUUUUAUUGGUUUGAUGCUUUCCGAUUUUUGUAACAGGGAAUUGAAACCUGGGUUAGAGAAAUUACUGGUGAAGGAAUUCACAAUCUUCUGCAGCAGCUUCACCUGCUACUUCAUCAUCAUAUUUACUUUCGGACACUGAAUAGAAGAGAAAGGGGAAGAAGGGAAAGAUAAAGGGUACGCUUUUUUGGAUUAUUUCUUCUUGUGUACCAUAAAGACUUGCUUUUUUGUUCAUCUUUCGUAUAUGUUCUCGUUUUUGUUUUGCUACUUAAAUGACUUAAUAUAUAUAUGAUUUGUUAUUGUAUCGAGAUGGACAUGGUAAAAUACAGAGAAAUUGAAUAAAGAUUUUUACUAAUCUUGGCAAUUUGGUUUCUGCCUUGUACAUUCCCAUCAACUUUAUUCUGAAAUGAAUCUCUGUGAUAUAUUGAUAUAUUUUUACUUGUAUGGUCUUUGAAGCUUGCAUUAGCAUAAAGCAUGAUAAUUUCUAUACAAUUUUCUGUUUGAUUUUGAAGCAGUAUCAUUUGCAAUUAUGGCAAGUAUGUUAAAAAAGCCUUAAUCUCAAAUUGUAACCAGCUGAGUUUAGUAUUUGCUGCUGAUAUAAAUGAGUUCACACUUUCCAAUUUUUACCUUCUGAUGGUAUAAUCUGUGAUAUGAACUUAUUCUAACCUUCUAAGUUUUUCAAAGUCUUGGAUGAUGUAAAAGUAUGAUGAAAUUUUGUGUGCAAGGAAGGGAACCUAUAUUUGUUAGUAGGUUAAAAUAUGCUUCAAUUCCUUGGAAUUUAAUCUUUCUAUUUUUAUUUCUAAGUAUGAUGUUUGCUGUUUUUGUGCUUGUCUAAUCUUGAUGUUCUCCUAGUGCCAUAGGAGUUUAAUGCUUUACUGCUUAUUGUGCACCUAUUGUGUCUGGGUCGUUAAAUCUUUGCUCAACGGCUUGAGUUGACAGAAGCUCAAGAAAGUUCGUUGUAUUUGGCAAAAAUCAGUGUAUUUGGGCUACAAAUAAACAUAAAAUUGGGCCAAACAAAUAAAAAAUAAUAUAAUAACCCAAAACAUUAUAUAAAACCCUUUUAGGUGGUUUUUAAUUGAUUUAACUACUUAUUUCUGGUUUUUUUAAUGCUUACGAGCGAUUCAAUGUUAAUCUAAUUUAAUGGUAGUUGUUGUCGUGUUGGACAAAUCGAUUUCAAUUGGUAUGUAGUGUUUUAUAAUUGGUACAAAUAAUUUCUAUAUUUUAUAAUACAUAUUUAAAAUUUUAUCUAUAUAUUUUAAUAUGAUUCAUACUAAAUCAAAGCAUACAUGUAGUAAAUUUCACUUGGAAAAAAAAUCAGAUAAAUGAAUAAUUGAAAAGGAUAGAAAUAUAAAAUAAAUAAAAAAUAUAAAUUUUUAUUUUUAUCUUUUUUUUAUAAAGUUGAAAAAUUAAAAACAUAAUAUUUAAAAGGGUAAAUUACACCAACAGUCACUUAACUUUGGGGUAGCUGGCAAAACAGUCAUCUUAAUUUCAUUUCAGUCACUCAACUUUGAAAAAGUGAUAAAACAGUCCUUUCCGUCACAGACGUCACGGUAAAGUGACAUGGCAGAUGACAGUCUCUAGUUGGCCGGUUACCACCAAUUUAAUAGCCCUAUCAGUAUUAAUUUAGGGUUUAAAAAGAGAAAAAGAAGAAAAAAAGAAGAAGAAAAAGAAGAAGAUGAGAAGAAAAAGAAGAAGAAGAGAAAAAAUAGAGAUGUAUCCAGUUUUCCAAUCAACGGCAACCGUCGCUGUUGCCAAUAACUUCCCCUACGUGAGUCUUGAAAUUGAUAUCCGCCUAAUUCGACCCUCUCAUCGCUAAAGAAAUCUUCGAUGUUGCCACCACCAACCCAGUUUUUGUCAUUCUUACUCUUCCUUCCUCAUCCUCAUUCUCAAACUCGGUGGUUCCAAGCACUUCUAUCUUGUCAACAACCUUCUCGUUCGUCUCAAAUCUGAUCAAAAUCUAUGUCGACACUCUUUUCUUACCUCAUCAAAAUCUAUGCUGAAGCUGAUUUAUCCCAGAAAGCUCUCAAUGUGUUCUACAAAAUGCUUGAAUUCAAUGUUAAGCCUUUACGCAAACACUUAAAUCAUAUCCUCGAGCUGGUUGUUUCUCAUCGUGACUUCAUCAUGCCUAUUUUUAACCUUUUCAAGAUUGCCUAUAAAUACGGUGUUUUCCCCAAUACCAAAUCUUACAACAUUUUGAUGGGUGCAUUUUGUUUGAACGGGGACUUAAGUAUUGCGUACAAACUGUUCAAAAAAAUGUUUGAGAGAGGUGUUAUGCCUGAUGUCGAGUCUUAUAGGAUAUUAAUGCAAGGAGUAUGCAAGAAGAGUCAAGUGAAUAGAGCUGUAGAUUUGUUAGAAGAUAUGUUGAAUAAAAGAUUUGUACCAGAUUCAUUGAGUUAUACUACUUUGUUGAAUAGUUUGUGUAGGAAGAAGAAGCUUAGAAAAGGAAGAGCUAUGGAUGCUGUUAAGGUUUUUGCACAGCCAUUACAGUGGAAGAAAUCAUAACAACUGUUGAGAAAUUUUAUAUUUCAAGAUAACUUUAAGCUUGGAUAUCAAUGGUAUCGCCCUUGUUUAUACCACUGCAACUUUAGCUGCUGCUACGACAAGUUGCCUACUUGUCAUCACUUUUUUCUUGGUUGUGUUACUUGGGUAAAUUAUACCAUCAGUGGCCAAUGACAAGAGACGAAUUUUAGGUCAGCAGAGAAUCAUUAUUAGCCAACCAAACAAGAGCGUUAUUUCUAGAUGUGCUGUAAUACCAAACAGAGAAAGUGUAGAGAUUUGUAGAAGAACUCAUUGACUUAAACCCAGCAGCGAAGACUUUGUUUCAACAGAUAAGAAUUUUUUUUGAGAUGGAGUCCAUGGGAAAUUCAAGAAAUUGAAAUAUCGAUAUGUCCGGGACAACAAUGGUAGAAGGUUACAAAGGAAGAGGCAAAGAAUCAGACCCGGCCAAAUUUAAGCAAAGAAGAUUUUUUUUACAAUCUCUUCUUUUUCUUCUUCUUCUUCUUUUUCUUUUUCUUCUCUGUUAUUAACGUUAUUUUUUUUCAAUUUUUUCUUAAAUUGGGUGGGUUUUACUGUGUACAUCUGUAACACCCCGAACCCGAGACCGUCACCGGAGUCGAACACGAGGUGUUAACAGACUUUAAACCACUUAUAAAAAAAAUUUCCCAGACACUGCCAAUCUGCGUGCUAGUCGCUUUAAAAAUCAUAUCUUGAGUUCAGAAACUCGGAAUCCAGUUUCGUAAAUUUUCCCUGAAACUAGACUCAUGCCCAUCUACAUAUUUUUUUCUAGAAUUUUUGGUUGGGCCAAUUAGUACAGUUUAUUAGUCAAAGUCUCCCAUGUUACAAGGAUCGACUACACUGACCUUUGCGCAUUACGACUUGGAUAUCUCCCUGUACAGGGCUUCAAUACUGAUGCUGUUUGUUUCUAUAGAAACUAGACUCAGAGAGGAAUCUAUACAUAUAUGGCAUGACUCCUAAUUGUCUCUGGUUAAUUUAUAAUGAAUUUCCAAAGUCGAAACAGGAAAUCCAGAAACCGUUCUGGCCCUGUCUCACGAGAACCUGAAUAUCUCUAAACAUACUAUCCAUAUGAUUGUUUCGUUACUUUCCUAUGAAAAUAGAUUCAUCAAGGUUCGUUUACAUAAUUUAUUCACUAUUUAAUUCCAUUCCUACUAUUUUUAGUGAUUUUCCAAAUCUACAUCACUGCUGCUGUCAGCAUCUGCCUUUAAGGUAGACUUUACCUAUUUCAUAGUUUCCAUGAUUCAACUAGCCCUUUUAGCAUAAAUAGCACAAAUUAUGAUAGUGAUUAACCAUUCCCAUGGCCAAUCCUUGUUAAGCAUAUCCACACCUCUCAAUAACCAUAUCCAUACCAAAUGAUGAUAACAUUAUGCUCAAACAUAUAUAAGCCAUUUUCGCAUGGCUAUCCAAAAUUAUACAAGUCCAAAGGGUCCAUGACCCACAACAAAAAGGGUAGUCCUAUACAUGCCAUUUCGAAGUUCAACCAAAAUUGUACCAAAAGGGGGGGCUUUGAUAGUGUGGGCGACUUCGACUUCAAAAUCCCGAGUCCGAUAGCUGGAGAACCAAAAUCUAUAAAACAGAGAAUCAAGGAGACGGAGUAAGCAAUUUAUGCUUAGUAAGUUUUGAGCAAGGGAUUCCAGCACAACAAAAGUAUAGCAUUCAUGUAGCUAAACGGAUAAUUUCAUAUGCACAAUUUUUCAAUAUCAUACUUACUUCACAUUACCAACCCUUUUAUUCAUACACAAAGAUCAACUUAGCCAAAGGCCGGUAGCUCAUUUAUCAACUGAGCGAAUACUUAUUUGUAAUGGCUCAACUAAUUCAAAGCACAUACGAAACAUACCUUAAUGUUGGGAUGUUUCAAGCGUAUUAACUGAAAUUUUUACAGCAAGAUCAUUCAUUCUCAAAUCACGUACCUUCGGAAUUUAACUGGAUAUAGCUACUCGUUCAAAUGCCUUCGGGACAUAGCCCGGUUAUAGUAACUCGCACAAAUGCCUUCGGGACUUCACCCGGGUUUAGUAACUCGCACAAAUGCCUUCGGGAUUUAACCCGGAUUUAGUAACUCGCACAAAUGCCUUCGGGCUUAACCCGGAAUUAGUAUCUCGCACAAAUGCCUUCGGAUCUUAGUCCGGAUAUGGUCACUUAGCACAAAGCCUUCGGGACUUAGCUCGGACAUCAUUCAAAUAACCAUGCACAUUUAACAAUAAAUCAUGGCACAUUCGUAUUUCGUUUUCGUUAGCAAAACUCAAACACAAGACACUUAUCAUUCUUGCAAUUUCGGCUCAAUAGCCACACACAAAGAGCAUGAUUUUGAUUUGCUUAAAACAUGAUCUAAUCAAAUCAUAAUUUAAGCUCUUUUACUCAAGAACUUACCUCGGGUGUUGUCGAACGAUUCCGAUAGCUAUUCGACCACUUUUUCCUUCCCUUUAUCGGAUUUAAUUCCCCUUUGCUCUUGAGCUUAAUUAAACAAAUAAAUUGAUUUAAUCAUUUGAGCAUCGAAAAGAGGAACACAAGACACUUAGCCCAUAUUUAUACAUUAGACAUUAAAGUCACAUAUGUACGGAAUCAUGAAUCAAACUCAACAUUUUAGCUAAUUUUCCCCCUUGGCCGAAUUUUCUAAGCCAAGACAAAAGCAUCAAUAUGCUUGCCUCUAACCGAAUACAUGCGACACCAAUCUCCUUCCUAUGGCCGAAUAUGCAUGUCUAUGUUGGGGCCGAUUGCAACACUUAAUACAUUCUACAAGUAUGGUCACUUGUAUUGACUAAACACCAUUUUGUUUCAAGUUCAAAACUUGGCUAAUACACACAUAUAUACACUAGUAAAGCAUCCUCUCCCUUUCCAUCAAUUUAACACAUGCAUUACUCAUUAAUAUAUAAAAAUUAUAUUCGGCCUUAGCACACAACUUGCUAGCCGAUUCUUCUUCAUCUAGCAACCAAUGCACAUAUGUGCUCACUCAAAAAUGCUAAAAAGAAGAUUCAAGAAUCAUCAAUCCACCAUCACAUGCAUCAUUAACAAGCUUCAUAUUUAGCAUGCAAUGGCAUUAACACAAAAUCCACCUAGGUCGAAUAUCAUCCCCAUGACAUAGCAAAGAUUUGAACCAUGGGCUAAUUAGAACUCAAGCUAGCAACUAAAAACAUGCAUGAAUCUCAUGGCACAGCCUCAAACAUACCUUGAUCUAGAUACAAGUAUGGCCAAACCUCCUCCUAAUCCUCUUCCAAACCAAACAUGAAGCAAGAACUCAUUCCUCCUUCCUUAGAAUUUUCGGCCAAAAGAAGAUGAAAAAGGAUGAACAAAAUUUUUCUUUUCUUUUCUUUUACUCACGGCAAUGGGGGGAAACAACCACACACUUUUUUUUUGUUUUCAUCAUAUUCCCUUUCAUUAUUUUAUGCCCAUGCUCCUUAUUUUAUCAUACUUCCCAUGAAACACUAACUCAACAUGUUUAUGACAUGUUCUUGCCCAUCACACUUGGUCUACCAUGCUUGUCAUGGCCGGCCACUACUAAUUAAGGGGGAAUUUGACAUGCAAGUCCCCCCUUUUAUUUCAUGCACUAAUAGGUCCUUAUGCUUUGACCUAUCACAUUUCAAAAUUUUCUCACAUAAGUCCUAUUUACUAAAAUUCACCUACAAUUAAACAAAAUUCAAACAUGAAAUUUUCACACAUGCACAUGUACAUAUAAUGAGCAUCAAUUAUGAUGGUUAAUUAUUUUUAUGACUCGGUUUAGCGGUCCCGAAACCACUUCCCGACUAGGGUCAAUUUUGGGCUGUCACAACUCUCCCCCACUUAAGAAAUUUUUGUCCCCGAAAAUCUUACCGGUAAAUAAGUUUGGGUAUCGUUCUUUCAUCGAGCUCUCGAUUUCCCAAGUAGCUUCCUCGAUCCCGUGUUUGAGCCAUAACACCUUAACUAACGAAACCCUUUUGUUUCGCAACUCUUUCACUUCACGAGCUAGGAUAUGAAUCGGUUCUUCUUCAUAACUCAAGUCAGAUUGAAUUUCAACUUCUGAGGGAUUAAUCACAUGUGACGGAUCGGAUCUAUAACGUCGAAGCAUCGAAACAUGAAAGACAUCGUGAAUCUUUUCAAGUUCAGGGGGCAAAAUCAAUCUAUACGCAACCGGACCAACCCGUUCGGAGAUUUCGUACGGCCCAAUGAAUCUUGGGCUCAACUUGCCCUUACGGCCAAAUCUGAGUACAUUUUUUCAAGGCGAAACUUUAAGAAACACUUUAUCUCCCACCUGAUAUUCAAUGUCUUUUCGUUUCAAAUUCGCAUACGAUUUUUGACGAUCUGUGGCUGCCUUUAGACUUUCACGGAUUACCUUUACUUUCUGUUCGGCAUCUUUAAUCAAAUCAACUCCGAAAAUUUUACUUUCACCGAGCUCGGUCCAAAACAAUGGUGUACGGCAUUUACGACCGUACAAAGCCUCGUAAGGUGCCAUCUUAAUACUUGAUUGAAAACUAUUGUUGUAAGCGAAUUCAAUCAAAGGUAAAUACCGUUCCCAUGAACCACUAAACUCGAGGAUGCAACAUCUCAACAUAUCCUCAAGUAUCUGAAUUAUCCGCUCGGAUUGACCAUCGGUUUGUGGAUGAAAAGCGGUGCUAAAAUGCAGCUUGGUACCCAAAGCUUCUUGUAAUUUCUUCCAAAAUCACGAGGUGAAUCUCGGAUCUCUAUCCGACACGAUAGAAAUAGGUACCCCGUGUAAUAUCACAAUCUGAGAAACAUACAAUUCGGCUAGUUUAUCCAAUGAAAAAUCCGUACGCACGGGGAUAAAGUGAGCCGACUUAGUCAGUCUAUCAACAACAACCCAAAUCGCAUCCUUCUUACUUGCUGACAAUGGCAGUCCGGACACAAAGUCCAUUGUGACUCGAUCCCAUUUCCACUCGGGUAUCAUGAUCGGCUGAAGUAAUCCUGAAGGCACUUGAUGUUCUGCUUUCACUUGUUGACAUAUUAAACAUCUCGAAACAAAGUCGGAGAUGUCUCGUUUCAUACCAUGCCACCAAAACUGACGUUUCAAAUCGUUGUACAUUUUCGUACUCCCCGGGUGAAUUGACAUUCGGCUACAAUGGGCUUCGUUCAGAAUCAUCGAAAUGAGUUCCGAAUUCCUUGGAACACACAAAUGACUUCUGAACCUCAAACAAUCAUCAUCAUCAAUUUGAAACUCCGAUUCCUUGUUCGGAACACACUCAGCCCGUUUUGCAACCAAUUCAUCAUCAACUUUCUGGGCUUCACGAAUUUGAUGAAUCAAUAAUGGUUUGGCUUUUAAUUCAGCUACUAACACAUUGUCGGGUAGAACAGACAAGUGCACAUUCAUCGCUAGUAAAGCAAACAAUGAUUUUCGGCUUAAGGCGUUCGCAACCACAUUAGCCUUUCUCGGGUGGUAAUCAAUGACAAGCUCGUAAUCUUUCAACAACUCAAGCCAACGUCUUUGUCGCAGAUUUAAGUCUCUUUGAGUCAUCAAAUAUUUGAGACUUUUGUGAUCCGAAAAUACAUGGUACUUUUCACCAAAUAAGUAAUGUCGCCAUAUUUUUAAAGCAAAUACGAUGGCAGCUAGUUCAAGAUCAUGGGUCGGAUAAUUUUUCUCAUGCGGCUUUAAUUGUCUCGACGCGUAGGCCACCACUCGACCUUCUUGCAUCAAUACGCAACCCAACCCAAGUAGGGAUGCGUCACUAUAAAUGACAAACUCUUUGCCUGAUUCGGGUUGCACUAAAAUUGGAGCUUCAAUCAAAUAAGUUUUCAGUUGAUCGAAACUUUUCUGACAUUUCUCCGUCCAUUCGAACUUAACAUCCUUUUGAAGUAGCUUCGUCAUUGGUGUGGCUAUCAUCGAGAAACCUUUGACAAAUCGUCGGUAAUAAUCGGUGAGUCCCAAAAAGCUCCGAACCUCAGUAAUAUUUCUCGGAGGUUUCCAGUUAAAUAUGGCUGAAAUUUUGUUCGGGUUAACUCGAAUACUCGAUGCGGAUACCACAUGACCCAAGAAGCUAACCUCUCUUAACCAGAACUCACACUUACUGAACUUAGCAUAUAACUGCUUAUCCCGCAAAAUUUGCAACACUAAUCUCAGGUGCUCAGCAUGUUCGGUCUCAUCUCUUGAAUAGACCAAGAUGUCAUCAAUGAACACAACUACGAACCGAUCCAAAUAUGGUCUGAAGAUCCGAUUCAUCAAAUCCAUAAAUACCGCAGGGGCAUUAGUGAGCCCAAACGGCAUCACUAAGAAUUCGUAGUGACCAUAACUCGUUCUGAAGGCAGUUUUGGGUAUGUCCGAAUCUCGAAUUCGCAACUGAUAAUAGCCCGAUCUCAAAUCUAUUUUUGAGAACACUGAGGCUCCCUUCAGUUGGUCGAACAAAUCAUCGAUACGCGGUAACGGAUAUUUGUUCUUUAUUAUCACUUUAUUCAGCUGACGAUAGUCAAUGCACAACCUCAUGGUUCCGUCCUUCUUUUUCACGAACAAUACUGGUGCACCCUAAGGUGAGAAACUUGGUCGAGCAAAACCUCUAUCCGUCAAUUCUUGCAACUGAGCUUUCAACGCUUUUAACUCGGUUGGUGCCAUAUGAUACGGAGCUAUCGAAAUCGGCGUAGUCCCAGGUACAAGCUUAAUACCAAACUCUAUCUCCCGAACAGGUGGUAAACCCGGUAAUUCUUCAGGAAAAACAUCCGGGUAUUCACAAACCACCAGCACAGAUUCAGGUUUCUUUUCUAAUUCUUUGUCAUCAAGUACAUACGCAAGGUAUGUUUCGCACCCUUUUCUUACAUAUUUCUGGGCCAACAUUGAGGAUAUUACAGCUGGCAACCCCUUUAAGUCCGUAGACUCAACUCGGAUUAUCUCAUUAUUUGCGCACCUCAAAUCAAUAGUCUUGCUUUUGCAAUUCACAACUGAAUCAUGCGCGGUCAGCCAAUCCAAACCAAGAAUAACAUCAAAUUCAUCAAACGGCAAAAGCAUCAAGUCCGCCGGAAAACAGGAACCUCGAAUUACUAGGGGACAUUUCUUACACACUUUGUCGACAAGCACGUAACGACCCAAGGGAUUUGACACCUGAAUUACGAACUCAGUAGACUCAAUAGGUAAAGUCUUACUGGAUGCUAAGGUUUCACAUAUGUAAGAAUGAGUAGAACCGGGGUCAAUCAAAGCAAUUACAUUAGUAUCAAAGAGAGUAAAAGUACUGGUAAUAACAUCAGGCGAAGAAGCAUCCUCGCGGGCACGUAUAGCAUAAGCUCUAGCAGGCGCACGAGCCUCGGAUCUGGUCGUAGCAUCUCUAGAUCCUCUUUGACCACCACUAGCAUUGUCCAUAUUUCCAGAUGGUCUACCUCGAGCAGUGGUAGCACCCGGUUUCCCACUCUGAUUUACAUUCUGUUCAGACAACCUCGAGCAAUCUUUAAUGAAGUGGUCAACUGAUCCGCACUUGUAACAGGAGCGGUCAGGGAAUCUACAACUCCCCGAAUGCCAUUUACCGCAAUAUCGACAUUUCGUUCUGUCUCGACGUUCAUUCCCAACACUGGCGAUCGAAGUUCCUCGUGUACCCACAGGGGGUCGAUCACGAUCUCGUCUAAAAAGGCCCGAAGUGCCUCUAGACCGGCCCACAUCAUCUCGAAAUUUCUUCGAUGCCUGUUGAAGAGACUUUCCCGAAGAUCUUUUACGAAACUCUCCAGUUCCCACAUCAACUUUUUAUUUUUCUUUUCUAAGCUCUUCGGCUUUACAAGCUCACUCGACAAGUACUACGAACUCUCGUAUUUCAAGAAUGCCCACGAACAUUUUUAUAUCUUCAUUCAGCCCAUCCUCGAAGCGUUUACACAUGAUAGCCUCGGACGAAACACAUUCCCGAGCGUGUCUACCAAGUCUAACAAAUUUUCACUCGUAAUCAGUAACCAACAUAGAACCUUGCUUAAGCUCAAGAAAUUCCUUCCGUUUUUGAUCAACAAAUCUCUGACUGAUAUACUUUUUCCGAAACUCAGUUUGGAAAAACUCCCAAGUUACUUGCUUUCGGGGCACAACAGAAGUCAGAGUACUCCACCAAUAGUAGGCAGAAUCGCGUAGCAAGGAGAUAGUACACUUUAGGCAUUCAUCGGGUGUACAAGAUAGCUCAUCGAGUACCCGGAUAGUGUUGUCCAACCAAAAUUCAGCUUGCUCGGCAUCGUCGCUAUCCGUAGCUUUAAAUUCAGUAGCACCAUGUUUUCGGAUUCUGUCAACUGGGGGCUUAUUUGACCUUAUUUGGUCAGUUUCUGGAGGUAUUGUAGGUACGGGGGUGGUAUUAGUCGGGAAUGGAGGUUGUGGAACAGCCGUAUUAGUUCGAAUGUAUUGGUUGAACUAAUCAUUCAUCACGCUAUAGAAAGCUUGUCUAGCUUCAUCAUUCGGGUUACUAGCAUUAGGUUGAGAGUCCGCCGGCGCUGUCCCUUGUGCGGGAGCAGGCGCUACACUCUCAAGAUCAUCAGCUACCGCUCGGUCGGGAUCGGGAUCCAUUACUAUAAAUAAACACAUUUACAAUUGUCAGAAAUCACCACACUAUCAAAUAAUCACAUAAAAUGGCAUGUAUAGCUAGACCCAACGCAUUACGGUAGUCCUAGAAUCGACUAAACCGUAGCUCUGAUACCAAUCAAAUGUAACACCCCGAACCCGAGACCGCCACCGGAGUCGAACACGAGGUGUUAACAGACUUUAAAUCACUUAUAAAAAAAAUUUCCCAGACAUUGCCAAUCUGCAUGCUAGUCGCUUUAAAAAUCAUAUCUUGAGUUCAAAAACUCGGAAUCCAGUUUCGUAAAUUUUCCCUGAAACUAGACUUAUAUGCCCAUCUACAUAUUUUUUUCUAGAAUUUUUGGUUGGGCCAAUUAGUACAGUUUAUUAGUCAAAGUCUCCCAUGUUACAGGGAUCGACUGCACUGACCUUUGCGCAUUACGACUUGGAUAUCUCCCUGUACAGGGCUUCAAUACUGAUGCCGUUUGUUUCUAUAGAAACUAGACUCAGAGAGGAAUCUAUACAUAUAUGGCAUGACUCCUAAUUGUCUCUGGUUAAUUUAUAAUGAAUUUCCAAAGUCGGAACAGGAAAUCCAGAAACCGUUCUGGCCCUGUCUCACGAGAACCUGAAUAUCUCUUAACAUACUAUCCAUAUGAUUGUUUCGUUACUUUCCUAUGAAAAUAGAUUCAUCAAGGUUCGUUUACAUAAUUUAUUCACUAUUUAAUUCCAUUCCUACUAUUUUUAGUGAUUUUUCAAAUCUACAUCACUGCUGCUGUCAGCAUCUGCCUUUAAGGUAGACUUUACCUAUUUCAUAGUUUCCAUGAUUCAACUAGCCCUUUUAGCAUAAAUAGCACAAAUUAUGAUAGUGAUUAACCAUUUCCAUGGCCAAUCCUUGUUAAGCAUAUCCACACCUCUCAAUAACCAUAUCCAUACCAAAUGAUGAUAACAUUAUGCUCAAACAUAUAUAAGCCAUUUUCGCAUGGCUAUCCAAAAUUAUACAAGUCCAAAGGGUCCAUGACCCACAACAAAAAGGGUAGUCCUAUACAUGCCAUUUCGAAGUUCAACCAAAAUUGUACCAAAAGGGGGGGCUUUGAUAGUGUGGGCGACUUCGACUUCAAAAUCCCGAGUCCGAUAGCUGGAGAACCAAAAUCUAUAAAACAGAGAAUCAAGGAGACGGAGUAAGCAAUUUAUGCUUAGUAAGUUUUGAGCAAGGGAUUCCAGCACAACAAAAGUAUAGCAUUCAUGUAGCUAAACGGAUAAUUUCAUAUGCACAAUUUUUCAAUAUCAUACUUACUUCACAUUACCAACCCUUUUAUUCAUACACAAAGAUCAACUUAGCCAAAGGCCGGUAGCUCAUUUAUCAACUGAGCGAAUACUUAUUUGUAAGGGCUCAACUAAUUCAAAGCACAUACGAAACAUACCUUAAUGUUGGGAUGUUUCAAGCGUAUUAACUGAAAUUUUUACAGCAAGAUCAUUUAUUCUCAAAUCACGUACCUUCGAAAUUUAACCGGAUAUAGCUACUCGUUCAAAUGCCUUCGGGACAUAGCCCGGUUAUAGUAACUCGUACAAAUGCCUUCGAGACUUAACCCUGAUUUAGUAACUCGCACAAAUGCCUUUGGGACUUAACCCGAAUUUAGUAACUCGCACAAAUGCCUUCGGGCUUAGCCCGGAAUUAGUAUCUCGCACAAAUGCCUUCGGAUCUUAGUCCGGAUAUGGUCACUUAGCACAAAGCCUUCGGGAUUUAGCUCGGACAUCAUUCAAAUAACCAUGCACAUUUAACAAUAAAUCAUGGCACAUUCGUAUUUCGUUUUCGUUAGCAAAACUCAAACACAAGACACUUAUCAUUCUUGCAAUUUCGGCUCAAUAGCCACACACAAAGAGCAUGAUUUUGAUUUGCUUAAAACAUGAUCUAAUCAAAUCAUAAUUUAAGCUCUUUUACUCAAGAACUUACCUCGGGUGUUGUCGAACGAUUCCGAUAGCUAUUCGACUACUUUUUCCUUCCCUUUAUCGGAUUUAGUUCCCCUUUGCUCUUGAGCUUAAUUAAACAAAUAAAUUGAUUUAAUCAUUUGAGCAUCGAAAAGAGGAACACAAGGCACUUAGCCCAUAUUUAUACAUUAAACAUUAAAGUCACAUAUGUACGGAAUCAUGAAUCAAACUCAACAUUUUAGCUAAUUUUCCCCCUUGGCCGAAUUUUCUAAGCCAAGACAAAAGCAUUAAUAUGCUUGCCUCUAACCGAAUACAUGCGACACCAAUCUCCUUCCUAUGGCCGAAUAUGCAUGUCUAUGUUGGGGCCGAUUGCAACACUUAAUACAUUCUACAAGUAUGGUCACUUGUAUUGACUAAACACCAUUUUGUUUCAAGUUCAAAACUUGGCUAAUACACACAUAUAUACACUAGUAAAGCAUCCUCUCCCUUUCCAUCAAUUUAACACAUGCAUUACUCAUUAAUAUACAAAAAUUAUAUUCGGCCUUAGCACACAACUUGCUAGCCGAUUCUUCUCCAUCUAGCAACCAAUGCACAUAUGUGCUCACUCAAAAAUGCUAAAAAGAAGAUUCAAGAAUCAUCAAUCCACCAUCACAUGCAUCAUUAACAAGCUUCAUAUUUAGCAUGCAAUGGCAUUAACACAAAAUCCACCUAGGCCGAAUAUCAUCCCCAUGACAUAGCAAAGAUUUGAACCAUGGGCUAAUUAGAACUCAAGCUAGCAACUAAAAACAUGCAUGAAUCUCAUGGCACAGCCUCAAACAUACCUUGAUCUAGAUACAAGUAUGGCCAAACCUCCUCCUAAUCCUCUUCCAAAUCAAACAUGAAGCAAGAACUCAUUCCUCCUUCCUUAGAAUUUUCGGCCAAAAGAAGAUGAAAAAGGAUGAACAAAAUUUUUCUUUUCUUUUCUUUUACUCACGGCAAUGGGGGGGAACAACCACACACUUUUUUUUUGUUUUCAUCAUAUUCCCUUUCAUUAUUUUAUGCCCAUGCUCCUUAUUUUAUCAUACUUCCCAUGAAACACUGACUCAACAUGUUUAAGACAUGUUCUUGCCCAUCACACUUGGUCUACCAUGCUUGUCAUGGCCGGCCACUACUAAUUAGGGGGGAAUUUGACAUGCAAGUCCCCCUUUUUUAUUUCAUGCACUAAUAGGUCCUUAUGCUUUGACCUAUCACAUUUCAAAAUUUUCUCACAUAAGUCCUAUUUACUAAAAUUCACCUACAAUUAAACAAAAUUCAAACACGAAAUUUUCACACAUGCACAUGUACAUAUAAUGAGCAUCAAUUAUGACGGUUAAUUAUUUUUAUGACUCGGUUUAGCGGUCCCGAAAUUACUUCCCGACUAGGGUCAAUUUUGGGCUGUCACAACAUCCAACGUGGCAAGUUAACUUGCCACAUCAGCUGGUUAACUUGCCACAUCAGCAGUCCCGUUAACCCCCUAAUGGAAACUGUUAAUCGGUGACUGUUUUGUCACUUUUUUAUAACGUUAGUAACUGUUUUGUUAUUUUUUAAAAGUUGAGUGACUGAUAUGAAACCUAGGUGACUGUUUUGUUAGCUACCCCAAAGUUGAGUGACAAUUAGUGUAAUUUACCCUAUUUAAAAAUUUGCAUAAUUUUAAGUUAGUUUACAUCUCUUUCUCAUUUUCUUUUCUUUAACUUUUUUUUCUUAUCAAAUACGUUCAAAAUUUAUUUUUUUUUACAACUUUUUCACCUUUAAUGCUUUAGUGCUUAUUGUGCACUUGUUGUGGAUGUUUGUUUAUGCAUUGCUCUUAAUGUUAUUAGCUAUGUAUCACCACUGGUAACAAUUCUAAAUUUGACCUUGAGUGCAUUAAAUUUAAUUGGACUCGAUAAUUGUUUUAGUUGCAUUUUGGUUUCACCCCUAUGUUAUCAUGGCAUGGACUUAGUAUUUUAAAACUAUAAUUAAUAAUGUGUACUAGUGAUGUCCUGAUGAGAGGAAGAAAGAAGAAAAUACAUUAAUGAAUCAUGUUUUUAACUUAUUUAAUUCUUCUUUAUCCUUAGAUUAUUUUCUAAUUUCAUGGUUGUUCAUUGUUUGCAGGUGUAAUUUAACUUGUUGGAAUCGACGCUACCAUCCAAUUUACAAUUUGUAAGAGGUAUGUAUGUUUAGUAUAGGCUAAAUCUUUAUUUGAUGUCUCUCCAUUGAAAUCUGACAUGUAUUCCAUUAGGUAUAUACCUUUCUCGGCAUUGAGAUUAAAAUUGACAGUUUCUAGAUAUCACACACAUGUUUGCACAUGUAAACCAACUUCCACUUCAUUUGCCUCGCUUUGCUUCGGAUCUUUGCUACUGGUUCCAAUGCGUAUGCUCUUACUUGCAUUAAUACUGUAAAAGGGAUCAUUUCUGCUCAAUUUGAAACCUUUUAAUAAUAUUAUACCUCUACGUGUAUGCUUGCCACGUG
rnacentral:lncRNA from 1 species